UGCCAGCAGCCGCGGUAAUACGGAGGGUCCGAGCGUUAAUCGGAAUUGCUGGGCGUAAAGCGCGCGUAGGCGGCUUGGUCAGUCGAAUGUGAAAGCCCCGGGCUUAACCUGGGAAUUGCAUCCGAUACUGCCUGGCUAGAAUAUGGGAGAGGGAAGUGGAAUUUCCGGUGUAGCGGUGAUAUGCGUAGAUAUCGGAAGGAACACCAGUGGCGAGGGCGACUUCCUGGCCCAAUAUUGACGCUGAGGUGCGAAAGCGUGGGUAGCAAACAGGAUUAGAUA
rnacentral:rRNA from 1 species